rnacentral:rRNA from 1 species
CCUACGGGAGACAGCAGUGAGGAAUAUUGGUCAAUGGACGAGAGUCUGAACCAGCCAAGUAGCGUGAAGGAUGACUGCCCUAUGGGUUGUAAACUUCUUUUAUAUGGGAAUAAAACGUUCCACGUGUGGGAUUUUGUAUGUACCAUAUGAAUAAGGAUCGGCUAACUCCGUGCCAGCAGCCGCGGUAAUACGGAGGAUCCGAGCGUUAUCCGGAUUUAUUGGGUUUAAAGGGAGCGUAGGUGGAUUGUUAAGUCAGUUGUGAAAGUUUGCGGCUCAACCGUAAAAUUGCAGUUGAAACUGGCAGUCUUGAGUACAGUAGAGGUGGGCGGAAUUCGUAGUGUAGCGGUGAAAUGCUUAGAUAUCACGAAGAACUCCGAUUGCGAAGGCAGUUCACUGGACUGCAACUGACACUGAGGCUCGAAAGUGUGGGUAUCAAACAGGAUUAGAUACCCGAGUAGUC